rnacentral:rRNA from 1 species
UACGUAGGUGGCAAGCGUUGUCCGGAAUUAUUGGGCGUAAAGCGCGCGCAGGCGGUCCUUUAAGUCUGAUGUGAAAGCCCACGGCUCAACCGUGGAGGGUCAUUGGAAACUGGGGGACUUGAGUGCAGAAGAGAAGAGUGGAAUUCCACGUGUAGCGGUGAAAUGCGUAGAGAUGUGGAGGAACACCAGUGGCGAAGGCGGCUCACUGGACCGGUACUGACGCUGAUGCGCGAAAGCGUGGGGAGCAAACAGG